rnacentral:rRNA from 1 species
UACGUAGGCAGCAAGCGUUGUUCGGAGUUACUGGGCGUAAAGAGUGCGUAGGCGGUGUCGAAAGUUUGGCGUGAAAUCUCCCGGCUUAACUGGGAGGGUGCGCCGAAAACUGCGGUGCUGGAGUGUGGGAAAGGCAAGCGGAAUUCCUGGUGUAGCGGUGAAAUGCGUAGAUAUCCGGAAGAACACCAGUGGCGAAGGCGGCCCGCUGGGCAGUGGCUGACGCUGAGGCGCGACAGCGUGGGGAGCAAACAGG